AAGGAUCAUUACCGAGUUGAUUCGGGCUCCGGCCCGAUCCUCCCACCCUUUGUGUACCUACCUCUGUUGCUUUGGCGGGCCGCGGUCCUCCGCGGCCGCCCCCCUCCCCGGGGGGGUGGCCAGCGCCCGCCAGAGGACCAUCAAACUCCAGUCAGUAAACGAUGCAGUCUGAAAAACAUUUAAUAAACUAAAACUUUCAACAACGGAUCUCUUGGUUCUGGCAUCGAUGAAGAACGCAGCGAAAUGCGAUAAGUAAUGUGAAUUGCAGAAUUCAGUGAAUCAUCGAAUCUUUGAACGCACAUUGCGCCCUUUGGUAUUCCGAAGGGCAUGCCUGUUCGAGCGUCAUUACAACCCUCAAGCUCUGCUUGGUAUUGGGCACCGUCCUUUGCGGGCGCGCCUCAAAGACCUCGGCGGUGGCGUCUUGCCUCAAGCGUAGUAGAACAUACAUCUCGCUUCGGAGCGCAGGGCGUCGCCCGCCGGACGAACCUUCUGAACUUUUCUCAAGGUUGACCUCGGAUCAGGUGAGCGGAUACCCGCUGAACUUAA
rnacentral:rRNA from 1 species